CACACUGGUGGGUGUAUCUUAUGGAAAGCUGCUUCUGCCUCCUCUGCUAGUCCUCAAUUUGGGCUGGUGUCCAAAGCCAAACUCCGGAGUUAAGUCCUGCCUCCUCCCUUCUACAAAGAAGUGGUAGAUUAAAGAUACCACAAAUUCUUUGUGAAUCUUUCCAUGGAGGAAUGCUCAGUGUCAUGGUACAUUCUGCAGGAGUUGAGCCUACUUGUGAGAAGUACAGCUACAUCAAGAUAAGGUGCUGCUAUAACAAAUACCGAAAAAUAUGGAAGUGGCAUUGUAACAGAUUCUGGUUGCUGGCAAUCCUUCGUUUUCUUUGGCUUGCAACUGCAACUCUUCAUCUCUGCCUUGGUUGUCACAUGGCCUUCUCCAUUCUGUGUCUGUCUGUGUCUGUGUGUCCUCUACCCUUCUCCUAAAAACAACAGUUAUAUUGACUUUAGGGUAUGCCCUAAUUCCAUGUAACCUCAUCUUAACUUUACUAAUUAUGUCUGCAAAGGUUGUGUUUCUCUCUGCUCUGGUUGCUAUAACAAAAUACCAUAGACUGGGUGACUUUAACAAAAAACAUUUAUUUCUCAUAGUCUGGAGGCUGGAAGUCCAAGAUCACGGUGCCUACAGAUUUGAUUAUUGGUUUGGGCUCAUUUCCUAGCUGCUUUCUUGUUUUAUCCUCCCAAGGCAAGAGACAGAGCUCUGAUCUCUUCCUCCUCUUAAAAGGAGGGCUCACCCUCGUGGCUGCAUCUCAGCCCAGUUACAUCCCAAGGACCCUGCCCCAAAAUACCAUUACAUUAGGCAUUAAGGCUUCAAUGCAUGCAUUUUGUGGGGAAAAAAAAUCCUGUCCAUAACAGGACUUAUUUCCAAAUAAGAUUACAUUCUGUGGUUCUGGGCGGACAUUAAUAUUGAAAAGGCAUUAUUUAAAGCAGUACAGUUACUAAUAAAUUGAUCUUAAAAUAGGGAGAUUUCCUAGAUUACCUGCAUGAGGGGAGGGUUCCAGGUCAUAUCAUAAACCCCUGAUAGCAGAGAAAAGCAGAGCUUUCACCCAGUCGAGGGUAGAGGAGCAAGUCAGAGAGAUUUAGCAUGAGAGAAUGCUAUGGAGAUUUUAAAUGCCUUUGCUGGCCUAGGGACACAUGCAAGACAUGAGAAGGAAGUAAAUUAUUUUGAAAAGCUGAAUAAAAAUGGCAGUAAAUUCUCCCCUAAAUCGUCCAAAUAAGAGCUCAGUCCAACUGACACCUUGAUAUUGGCCUUGUAAGACCAUAAGUAUAUUACUGAUUAAGCCUCCCUGGAAGUUUGACUUAUACCACAGUAAUAUAAUAAAUAUUUCUGUGUUACACUGUUAAAUGUAUGAUUACUUGUUAUGGCAGCAAUGAAA
rnacentral:lncRNA from 1 species